rnacentral:lncRNA from 1 species
GAAAUUCUCCCUCACGACCCAACAUUGAGCACGUUAUUUUACAUUAUAAAAGUAUCAAACAAUUAGUUGUUCAUUACAUGUAAAGGAGAAAAAACAUGGCAAGAAUUCUCAAGUUUGUUAAUGUCUUCUUCCUCUUUUUUCUACUAUUUCUUGUUGUAUGCAAUGGUAAUAAGCUCUUUCUCCCACAUUUUCAAAAUUUUCUUUUUUUACCUUAGACUAUUUUCAUCCUCUUUUUGUUACAUUUUUUUUUUUCUUCUUCUUUUCAUCGCAGCAUUUUAUGUAUGCAUAAAUGACCAAGAUUGUCCAGAUUCUUCUUGCGCUCUUACUGAAGAUAAGAUGUGCAGUUGGAUUGUGUGUUCAUGCAUGCGGAAAUUAUGAAAAAUGGUGUAAGUUUAAAAGUUAUUCUUUACUAUUUUGAAGCCUUUAAUUUUAUUUAUGCUUUUAGAAUCGUGAGUUGGGCUUAACUCAAUCUUACAAAAUCGGAUUGUAAGGUGAAAACUGCUCUCAAUUAUAAACACAUAUUCAGACUAUUUCACAAUCGAUUUGAGACUUCUUAACAUAUGCAUGUCAUAAUGAACAGUUGGAUUGUGCGUUCAUGUGACAUGUCAUAAUGUUGGUAUGAUAUUCAUAUGAUUUAUUUCACACUCAAAUAUCUCUAACCUUUGUUUUUGUUGACAAGUUUUAUCUUGCACAUGUUGUUACCAAUGUUUUCUUUCAGAAUAUCUAGAAAACAUUGUCCCAAAAAUAAAUAAUUUAGAAAACAAGAACAUCAUCAUUACAUGAUUAUAUAAUUAUUAUUUUUUUAAAUAAAUGCAACAUGUAUGAUUAAGUAAAUUUACAAAUAUUGGUUUGUACUUGAGUAACCAUUGUAUUUAAAGGUGAGCAAGAAUCAAAACCAAGAAAAAACAAAAUGAAGAAUUUUUCACAUGCAAAUCACUUCGGAUUUACACAUUUAGAAAAACAUUUUGAGGUUGUUGAUGUAUAUAUAAUUCCGAAUUUAUUUAUGGGUCAUGAUAACAUAUAUCCUAAAGACACAUAUUAAGGAAAUUAAAAAUAGAAUAAUUUUUAUAUCGAAUUUUUUUUUUAUUUAGUGAAUGAAGUUACCAAAGAUCACAAUUUAUUUUGAGCUUAACUCUAAAUAGUUAUAAAGUCAAAUAUGAAAUGGUACUGACAAUCUAACAUUGAAUUUGAUUCUGCAGUUUAUUUUUAAAUGUGAGGCUCUAGUUGUGCUUGGUUCAAAUAUCAUGAAGGACGUUUAAUUGGCUUAAUGGAAUUGGUGGUUUAUAUGUUCAAAUAAUUAUUAUGAUGUAGAUUUUCAUAUUACUUGCAAGACCUAUGUCGUACAAUAACUUUUGUGUUGUUUCUAGUUUACAUUCUGUAUUUUAUGAAAAUUGCUGUAAUUUUGUGAUCUUUUAGUUUUGGAUUGAAUAAAAUUAAGGUGGAAGCAUUUUCUUUCUCAUGAUGAUUUUUAAAAUUAAACCUCCCAUUUAAACUUUAUUCUUAAAGUAACUUUUAAGUCUUAAAAAAAUAGGGUCGAACACAACCUAAAA